rnacentral:ribozyme from 1 species
CCCUACCAAUAGCAUGUACCUUGACGUGGUGGUAGGGCAACUAAUUGAUCAGACAUAUAUAUGUCUAGCAUUUUGAAUCAUAGCAUAUAUAGGUGCAGAACUAGAAACUGAUCAAUUAGACCAAACAUGC